UUAAAAACUAUGAUAGGAAGAGUAGAUAAAGAACGUAGCCAAAGCGAACCAGUGACGGUGCAAGACUGGUGUUAUAUCUUUAUUGAAGAACAUCCUUGAGUUUCUAACUGAAAUCUAUAAGAAAGUAGGCUUAGAGGUAUUCAGUACCUUAUAACUGAUGCAUGAAUUUAUAAUUCAUGCUUAUUUGAGUGGUCAUUUAGACAAAUUGGGUGGUACCGCGAAGUCAGUCUUUCGUCCCUUUA
rnacentral:ncRNA from 1 species